rnacentral:lncRNA from 1 species
AAAGUCCUAAUACAGAUACAAAAAACAAAAAGCCUAAAUUUGAUACAAGCCCUAAAAGACCUGCCACCCACACUCAAGCUACCACCGCAAGAAGGCUUACGAGAAAAUCCAAGAGAUUUGUUCAGCCCUAAAAGACCUGCCAUCCCUAGAGGUUCUGAUCUCUAUCCAACUCUUCUUUUCUUCAAAAGAGAUUUGUUUUCUUAAAUUUUUGCUCUCAUUCAUCAACAGAGAGUUUGUUGAGGCAUCUCCAGGUUGAAGCUAACUUAAGUCUCAUCUCCUUUAUACUAGGUAAGAUUAAUGUUAUAUACUUGUUUAUUAAUUUAUUUAUUUGUCAAGUAAAAGAUAAAUUGGGAAUAAAUUAUUGGGGUAGCUAAUUCUACUAAUUUAUAUGUUUCUUUACUCUUUGUGAAGGUAAUCAGGUAAAUUAAAGCAAAGACCUCGAAUAGAUUUUUUGUCGGCCUUCCUAAAUAUGUUUUUAAUUUCAAUCAGGAUAAUUCUCUCUAAUUAGUUUACAAAUCGCCAUGGUCUGUGAUUACGACUUUAGACUUUUGUUGAUUAGUAGAUUGUUGAUUUCUUUGUUUUGUUUUUGUUUUGUUGUCGUUUCUUUGCCGAUUAGUGUAUCUUUAGGCUUCAGGCGUUAGUGUGUUGUUAAUAUUGUGGAGUCUUCAUUCUUGAAGCAAUUCUCAUUAGAUGUAAUAACUUUAAAGUUAGGAAGAUGAAACAAUCGACCCUUGAGAACUUUGGUAUGAAUGCUUCUGCUUUCUAUUAUUCAUCUCUUAGUUUCUUACUUUGAGUCAAUAGAAAGUUAAUAUGACAAGCAAGCGCCUCGCGAUCUUGGUUUUCAUAUCUGUUUAGAAUGACAAAUAAGUUACUACCUUCAUCCAAAAUAUAGCCAUUUUACAUUCUUUAAACAUAAACAUGUGAUGUCAAGAACACAAAUGAAUGAACAUAUUACAAGUAUUCUCUAUUUCACCUAGCCUAAUAUGUACACAAGUUCUUUCAUAUUUUCUUGCUUUAUGAUCUUAUACACAAAGUUAUAGGUUUGGGAUUUCCUUUCCUUGAAUCCUGCAGUUGAAAACAUAAGCAGUACUUCUAUUUUCAGGUCCAGGAAGCAAAUUACUACUGGGAUUGCUUGAGGAGCCAGCUGCAAGUGAAAAUAUUUGGUAAGUAAGUUUUGUGUUCUUGAAAAUCUGUGUUAAUAGGUGGUGUGGAAAUAUUUGGAAAUAUUUGAAAAGAAAGUGCAACAUUUAGUACCACCAUUCCUUCUUGUGUUGAGUAGUUGGAACCUAAGUCUGGAUCAAUCAAUUCCAAUAUACUCCCGCACUCUUGCAUAACAUAAGCCUAUUCCAAAUAGAUCAAAAUUUUGAAUAGUUAAUGUACUGGGAAAAUAUAACUUGUUAAGCAAAAUUUGAGAGUUUUGAGUCUGAAUGUACAAGUUGAUAUAGGGAACAAUAAUGACAUGCCAUUACUAGAUGUUCUGGUUUACAUGAAAAUGAAAAUAGAAGGGGAAGUCCUUUUUAAGGAUGAUGGAAGCACAAUAAGAGUUACCCAGUCAAGAAGAUAAACAGUUAAUACAGUUACUUGCUAAUUUACAGAGAAUUCUGACAUUAAACAAUCUCCUUAUUUCUUAAUAUUUGAAGUAGCAAUAAGAUAGCUGGUGUUUUUUUUAAGUUCACUAAUAGCUCUUUUGAAAUCCAAAAUGGGAAUUACAAUUUAAGUAAGUAGGAUGCCAUGGUGCUAAUAAUUAGUAAACCAAGGAGUUACAUGGCAGGGAAAGAGAGGUGGAGUUAUAACAAUAAAGAUUUAUAUUACUGCUCUAUAAAGGCGAUUUAAUAUCUAGAAAAAAAAAGCUAUAUUUCUCUAGGUAACUAAUAAGUUCUUGGCUUGCUUUACUUUUUAGGAGAUUAUACCUGCCAGAAUUGCUGUGUGAUGAGAACAGUACCAUGAUUGUUUCAAAAUACACGAGAUAAUGCAUAUAACUUUUCAGUAUUAUCACAUAUAUGCUACUUUAGCACAUUAGUUGGUCUCGCCAUUAAUAUCAUUGUCAUAGUUUGCAUUUCUUUCUUUUUUUUGCAGUAGAGAAAGCUUUAGAUUAAAUGAUAUAAUUAUGUAUCUCCAGUAAUUUCUGAAAUUUGUUAUUUAGAUCUUAAUUUUUAUGAUUUGCAUUUGUGACCCAUAGGAGAUUUAAUAUUCAAUGGAUCAUGGAGAUAAAAGUUGGAUGGGUCUCCGAAGAUCCACAGAUGAGUAUAGUCGCUGAGUGAAUGAUUUUCUUGAUAAGGCAUUUGAACGGGCUUCUCAAGACAAUGAAAUAUUAUGUUCUUGCAAAAAAUGUGCUAAUUGUUAUUGGCGCAUUAGAAAUGUGGUAGAGGAUCACUUGGUUGGUUAUGAAUUUAUUCAAGGAUACACCAAAUGGAUUUCCACGGGGAAAAGAUUUUCUCGAGAAAUAAUCCACAUCCAAGUAAUGGUGAUGAAGGUUCCAACAUGUAUGAUGAUAUUGAUGGACUACUUCAUGACACUUUUAGAAAUAUUGAGGGUGACAUGAGGCAUGAAGAAGGUGUGCGAGAGGGACCAUCUGAAGAUGCAAAGAAAUUUUUUAAAUUAGUGGAGGAAGGAAAACAAGAGUUAUAUCCGGAAUGUGAGAAUUUUUCAAACUAAGUUUCACCAUUCGAUUGUACUUAAUCAAAUGCAUUCAUGGCUUGAGUAAUGUGGCUUUUUCAGACUUGUUAGACUUGUUAAAAGAGGCAUUUCCAUUUGCUAAGCUACCCGAGUCUUUUUACAAGGCAAAAAAUAUGAUAAAAGAUUUGGGUCUUCAAUAUGAAAACAUACAUGUGUGCCCUAAGGAUUGCAUGCUUUUUUGGAAUGAAAAUGAGAAGAAUGAUAAUUGCUUUGUAUAUGGAACUUCUAGAUGGAAGAAUGUUGUUGAUGGCGUGACUGCUGCAAGCUCAUAGGUUUUAAGGUACUUUCCCUUAAAGCCUAGACUUCAGAGGAUAUUCAUGUGCUCUGAACCAGCUGCAGCUAUGAGAUGGCAUGCUACUGAAUGACCCAAUGAUGAGAUUUAAAACAUCCUGUUGAUGGGGAAGCGUGGAGGAAUUUUGAUUUCUUGCACAAGGAUUUCUCUUGGGAUCCUUGUAAUGUUAGAUUGGGUCUUUCAAGUGAUGGUUUUAACCCGGUUUGAACCAUGAGCAUUUUUCAUAGCACAUUGCCCGCUAUGCUAAUGAACUAUAAUUUAUCACUAUAUAUUUGCAUGAAGCCGAAGUAUAUAAUGUUGUCAAUGAUCAUUCCGGGUCCUUCUUCACCAGGAAAUGAUAUAGAUGUGUACUUACAACCACUAAUUGCUGAAUUGAAGGAACUAUGGGAAACAAGGGUAGAAACAUAUGAUGCUAAAUUUGACCAAAUAUUUCAAAUGCGUGCAGCCUUGUUGUGGACAGUUAGUGAUUUUCCAGCACUAGCAAUGCUUUCCGGAUGGAGCACCAAGGGGAGACUGGCAUGCCCGACUUGUAAUUAUGGCACAUGCUCUCAGUAUCUCAAACAUAGUUGUAAGAUGUGUUACUUGGGUCAUCGGGCAUUUUUGCCUCCUGAUCAUCUAUUUCGAAGAGAUAAGAAAUCAUUUGAUGGUAAAGAGGAUCAUAGAACAGCACCUACUCCCUUGUCAGGUGUAGAUGUGUCAGAAGAAUUGCGUGAAUUUAAUCAUGUCUUUGGAAAGGGUCAAAAGAAACAACGUCGGGGUAAUGAGGGUCCAUGGAAGAAAAAAUCAAUCUUUUUUGAAAUGCCGUAUUGGGCACAUAACAAAUUGAGACACAAUCUUGAUAUAAUGCACAUCGAGAAGAACAUAUGUGAUAGUUUGCUUGGUACUUUAUUGGAUAUGCCUGGAAAGUCAAAAGAUCAUGUAAAUUUCUCGCUAUGACUUGGAAGAGAUGGGGAUACAAAAAGAGCUUCAACCAUUAAAAGAUAAGGAUAAUAAAAAAGUUUAUUUGGCUAAAGCUUGUUUCUCCAUGAAACAGAAGAGAAAAGUUGUUUUGCACUGUUUUAAAAAAUGUGAAAUUACCAAAAGGGUGUGGGUCAAUUAUAUCACGACGUGGGUAAGUGGAGAAAAAGAAAGUAUCAGGGUACAAGAGUCAUGAUGCUCAUUUUAUCAUGCAUUACUUGCUCUAGAUUGCAGUUAGAAAAGUGUUGCCCAAGAAUGUUUCUUUGGUCUUGAUUAGGUUGGGGAACUUCUUUAGAGCCAUAUGUAGCAAAGUUAUAAGGCGAAGAGAUGUUGAUAAAAUGCAAUCUGAAAUCAAUGAAAUUGAAUGUGACCUUGAAAAGAUCUUUCCUCCAACUUUUUUUGACAUAAUGGAAUAUUUGCCUAUCCAUUUAGUAGAUGAAAUUAAGCUUGGGGGUCCGACUCAUUUACGUUAGAUGUAUCCUAAUGAGAGAAAUCUGUGUAAUUAUAAGGCAUUUGUUCGUAAUUGAUAUCAUUCAGAAUCGUCAAUAGCGGAGGAAUUUUUGGCCGAAGAGUGCUUGACCUUUUGUUCGAGAUACCUACAUGAUGAGGUAAAAACAAGAUUUGGCAGGUAUCAAACAGAAGAUGAUGAAGGGCUUGAAACAGAGGGAGAUGAUAUGUCACCUAUAUUCCCUAAGAUAGGCCAUCCAAUCAGAUGUCAGAAGAAAAACAAAGGCAAUGCAUUUACCAUGGGUUUACAAUUAUGUUUUGAAGCACAUCGAUAUGUUCUGUUCAAUACCGGAUAUGAACAAAUGGAGAUAUUUAUCCAGUAAGAUAAUUAUCAUUUUUAUUAUAAACAUUAUUAAUUUAUUUAUAUGAUAUGAUAAUUUAUACUUUAUUCAUAAAGGCCUAAUAUAUAAAUCUAAAAUAUUCAUGUUUACAGGGAACAUAAGAGUUUAAUUGAUAAUAAUACAAGAUCAAAUGCAUGGAUUAGAGAACGAAAUCAUAGUUAGGAAUUCGGCAACUGGUUCUAAGAGAAAGUUAAAACUUUUGAAGUGCCAAAUCAUUUACAAUGGCUAGCCAAAGGGCCAAAUAUAGUUGCAAAAAGAUAUACUGGAUAUUUCAUCAAUGGAUACCGAUUUCAUACGAUGGAACGAGAUAGCCGAGUCAAGACUCAAAAUAAUGGAGUGACUUUGUCAACAAAAACUGAUAGUUUAGCUAGUCCUAGAGAUUCAAAUCCUAUCGAUGGAGAGGUUAUCUAUUAUGGAUCUAUUCGGGAUAUUAUUGAGAUUGAUUAUUGGGGUUGUUUUAGUAUUUUAUUGUUUAGAUGUGAUUGGUUCCAUAAUGAAAUAGAUGAAUAUGACUUAACUCGGGUAUGCUUCAACAGAUUAUGUAGUGUCGAUGACCCCUUUGUAUUGACAUCUAAAGUGCAUCAAGUUUUUUAUGUGGAGGAUCCAAUAGAGAAAGAUUUUUAUUACCCAAGAAACAGAGUCCUUAAUAACUUGUAUGAUUUGGAGGAAGAGUAUUAUGAUAAUAAUACAGACACAUUUUGGAGGGAGCUUGAUGAUGACAUUGGUUCAUUAGUUAGAUUACCUGAUGUUGAUGUUAUAUAGUCGAGAGAAGAUAUUCAUAGUGAUGUCAUUGAUAUGCCAUCUCAUGCAGAGCUUUUACAAGAUACAAAUAUAGAAACAUCGGAAGAAGAGGAUGAUAUUGAUGAUACUAAUUGGGAUUGGAUAGAUGCUGAUGAUUGAAGAGUAAUUUCUGAACUUUUUUUAAAAUUACAAAUAUGAAAACUUCAGAAGAGUUCUCUUUUGCAUUUUCUUCUAUUCUUCUUUGUACCGUCACUUUGAAAGAAAAUGGAAAAGAAUGUUAUUUGAUAUUGCUUCUUUGAUUGUUCUAUAAUUUUAUUUGAAUGCAAUUUUCUUUGCCUGUUGUGUAAUUUUGGAUCGUAAAUCAAGUAUUUUUCUUCACGUCAAUCUUGAUUUCAGGUCCUUAAAUUUGUUGGUAGAUAGGAACAAUGUUUAGAUUGUUUUCUUAUAUACUAAUUUGGCUCUAGUUGUUUUAUGUUUUAUCAUUUUGAUAGAGUUUGAUAGUCAUGAGGCAAGACGAAUGUCUGAAACAAAAGAAAAAAAUAAAAAACUCGACAUGUAUUAAUGUUGGAACACUUGCCUCUUUGGCAUACCAAAAAAAAUUAUUGCUGACCAGAAAAACAAAGGUUCCAGCUAGCUGUAUACGGUCAAGUGAAGAGGGUGAGCAUCUUCAAAAUUUAGUUGAAGACCAUCAGAUACUAACUGAAACAACCACCCCUGCAACAGAAAUAUUAGAGGAGGAAAUGCAAUUGAAUUCAACUGUUGAUGAACAAGAACAAUGUGAACUACAAGG